UACGAAGGGGGCUAGCGUUGUUCGGAAUUACUGGGCGUAAAGGGCGCGUAGGCGGCUCUAUGCGUCGGGCGUGAAAGGCCUGGGCUUAACCCAGGAAUGGCGCCCGAUACGGUGGAGCUUGAGUGCGGGAGAGGAUGGUGGAAUUCCCAGUGUAGAGGUGAAAUUCGUAGAUAUUGGGAAGAACACCGGUGGCGAAGGCGACCAUCUGGACCGCAACUGACGCUGAGGCGCGAAAGCGUGGGGAGCAAACAGG
rnacentral:rRNA from 1 species